AGAGUUUGAUCCUGGCUCAGAAUCAACGCUGGCGGCGCGCUUAACACAUGCAAGUCGCACGAGAAAGUGGAGCAAUCCAUGAGUACAGUGGCGUACGGGUGAGUAACACGUGGAUCAUCUACCUCUUGAUGGGGAAUAACCCUGGGAAACCGGGGCUAAUACCGCAUAAGCCUGAAAAGGGAAAGCAGCAAUGCGUCGAGAGAGGAGUCCGCGGCCGAUUAGCUAGUUGGUAGGGUAAAGGCCUACCAAGGCAAUGAUCGGUAGCCGGCCUGAGAGGGCACACGGCCACACUGGCACUGAAACACGGGCCAGACUCCUACGGGAGGCAGCAGUGGGGAAUCUUGCACAAUGGAGGAAACUCUGAUGCAGCGACGCCGCGUGAGCGAUGAAGCCCUUCGGGGUGUAAGGCUCUUUCGGCAGGAACGAUAAUGACGGUACCUGCAGAAGAAGCUGCGGCUAACUACGUGCCAGCAGCCGCGGUAAUACGUAGGCAGCAAGCGUUGUUCGGAAUUACUGGGCGUAAAGAGUGUGUAGGCGGUUCUCUAAGUUCCGUGUGAAAUCUCCCGGCUCAACUGGGAGGGUGCGCGGGAAACUGGAGGGCUUGAGUAUGGGAGAGGAAAGCGGAAUUCCUGGUGUAGCGGUGAAAUGCGUAGAUAUCAGGAGGAACACCUGCGGUGUAGACAGCUUUCUGGACCAUCACUGACGCUGAGACACGAAAGCGUGGGUAGCAAACAGGAUUAGAUACCCUAGUAGUCC
rnacentral:rRNA from 1 species